rnacentral:rRNA from 1 species
CGAAUGCUGACAUAAGUAACGAUAAAGCGGGUGAAAAGCCCGCUCGCCGGAAGACCAAGGGUUCCUGUCCAACGUUAAUCGGGGCAGGGUGAGUCGACCCCUAAGGCGAGGCCGAAAGGCGUAGUCGAUGGGAAACAGGUUAAUAUUCCUGUACUUGGUGUUACUGCGAAGGGGGGACGGAGAAGGCUAUGUUGGCCGGGCGACGGUUGUCCCGGUUUAAGCGUGUAGGCUGGUUUUCCAGGCAAAUCCGGAAAAUCAAGGCUGAGGCGUGAUGACGAGGCACUACGGUGCUGAAGCAACAAAUGCCCUGCUUCCAGGAAAAGCCUCUAAGCAUCAGGUAACAUCAAAUCGUACCCCAAACCGACACAGGUGGUCAGGUAGAGAAUACCAAGGCGCUUGAGAGAACUCGGGUGAAGGAACUAGGCAAAAUGGUGCCGUAACUUCGGGAGAAGGCACGCUGAUAUGUAGGUGAAGUCCCUCGCGGAUGGAGCUGAAAUCAGUCGAAGAUACCAGCUGGCUGCAACUGUUUAUUAAAAACACAGCACUGUGCAAACACGAAAGUGGACGUAUACGGUGUGACGCCUGCCCGGUGCCGGAAGGUUAAUUGAUGGGGUCAGCGCAAGCGAAGCUCUUGAUCGAAGCCCCGGUAAACGGCGGCCGUAACUAUAACGGUCCUAAGGUAGCGAAAUUCCUUGUCGGGUAAGUUCCGACCUGCACGAAUGGCGUAAUGAUGGCCAGGCUGUCUCCACCCGAGACUCAGUGAAAUUGAACUCGCUGUGAAGAUGCAGUGUACCCGCGGCAAGACGGAAAGACCCCGUGAACCUUUACUAUAGCUUGACACUGAACAUUGAGCCUUGAUGUGUAGGAUAGGUGGGAGGCUUUGAAGUGUGGACGCCAGUCUGCAUGGAGCCGACCUUGAAAUACCACCCUUUAAUGUUUGAUGUUCUAACGUUGACCCGUGAUCCGGGUUGCGGACAGUGUCUGGUGGGUAGUUUGACUGGGGCGGUCUCCUCCUAAAGAGUAACGGAGGAGCACGAAGGUUGGCUAAUCCUGGUCGGACAUCAGGAGGUUAGUGCAAUGGCAUAAGCCAGCUUGACUGCGAGCGUGACGGCGCGAGCAGGUGCGAAAGCAGGUCAUAGUGAUCCGGUGGUUCUGAAUGGAAGGGCCAUCGCUCAACGGAUAAAAGGUACUCCGGGGAUAACAGGCUGAUACCGCCCAAGAGUUCAUAUCGACGGCGGUGUUUGGCACCUCGAUGUCGGCUCAUCACAUCCUGGGGCUGAAGUAGGUCCCAAGGGUAUGGCUGUUCGCCAUUUAAAGUGGUACGCGAGCUGGGUUUAGAACGUCGUGAGACAGUUCGGUCCCUAUCUGCCGUGGGCGCUGGAGAACUGAGGGGGGCUGCUCCUAGUACGAGAGGACCGGAGUGGACGCAUCACUGGUGUUCGGGUUGUCAUGCCAAUGGCACUGCCCGGUAGCUAAAUGCGGAAGAGAUAAGUGCUGAAAGCAUCUAAGCACGAAACUUGCCCCGAGAUGAGUUCUCCCUGACUCCUUGAGAGUCCUGAAGGAACGUUGAAGACGACGACGUUGAUAGGCCGGGUGUGUAAGCGCAGCGAUGCGUUGAGCUAACCGGUACUAAUGAACCGUGAGG